rfam:Triticum urartu cultivar G1812 contig599742, whole genome shotgun sequence.
AGGUGCAUUGCAGGGCAACUGCUCCAUUGGCAGAGGGAUAUGGAUGUGGCUUACGCCUCUUACGUUGCUCUUUUGUCUAUCUGCCAAAGGAGAUUUGCCCCGCGAUUCACCA